rnacentral:rRNA from 1 species
CGGCAGGCCUAAUACAUGCAAGUCGAGGGGUAACAGGAAGUGCUUGCACUUCGCUGACGACCGGCGCACGGGUGAGUAUCGCGUAUACAAUCUGCCUCAUACUAGGGAAUAGCCCGAAGAAAUUUGGAUUAAUGCCCUAUAGUAUCUUUUUAAGGCAUCUUAAUAAGAUUAAAGGUUACGGUAUGAGAUGAGUAUGCGUUCUAUUAGCUAGUAGGUGUGGUAACGGCACACCUAGGCUACGAUAGAUAGGGGCCCUGAGAGGGGGAUCCCCCACACUGGUACUGAGACACGGACCAGACUCCUACGGGAGGCAGCAGUAAGGAAUAUUGGACAAUGGGCGAAAGCCUGAUCCAGCCAUGCCGCGUGCAGGAUGACUGCCCUAUGGGUUGUAAACUGCUUUUAUAUAGGAAGAAAAAUUUUCUCGUGAGAAAACUUGACGGUACUAUAAGAAUAAGGAUCGGCUAA